rnacentral:rRNA from 1 species
GUCUGAUGUGAAAGCCUUCGGCUUAACCGGAGAAGUGCAUCGGAAACUGGAUAACUUGUAGUGCAGAAGAGGGUAGUGGAACUCCAUGUGUAGCGGUGGAAUGCGUAGAUAUAUGGAAGGAACAACCACGUGGCGAAGGACGGCUACCUGGUCUGCAACUGACGCUGAGACUCGAAAGCAUGGGUAGCGAACAGGAUUAGAUACCCUGGUAG